AUUGAACGCUGGCGGCAUGCCUUACACAUGCAAGUCGAACGGUAACAGGUCUUCGGAUGCUGACGAGUGGCGAACGGGUGAGUAAUACAUCGGAACGUGCCUAGUAGUGGGGGAUAACUACUCGAAAGAGUGGCUAAUACCGCAUGAGAUCUACGGAUGAAAGCAGGGGAUCGCAAGACCUUGUGCUACUAGAGCGGCCGAUGGCAGAUUAGGUAGUUGGUGGGAUAAAAGCUUACCAAGCCGACGAUCUGUAGCUGGUCUGAGAGGACGAUCAGCCUCACUGGGACUGAGAAACGGCCCAGACUCCUACGGGAGGCAGCAGUGGGGAAUUUUGGACAAUGGGCGCAAGCCUGAUCCAGCAAUGCCGCGUGCAGGAUGAAGGCCUUCGGGUUGUAAACUGCUUUGGUACGGAACGAAAAGCCCCGGGUUAAUACCCUGGGGUCAUGACGGUACCGUAAGAAUAAGCACCGGCUAACUACGUGCCAGCCGCCGCGGUAA
rnacentral:rRNA from 1 species